UAAGACGAACCGUGCGAACGUUGUUCGGAAUCACUGGGCUUAAAGGGCGCGUAGGCGGGCGUGCAAGUCAGGGGUGAAAUCCUCCGGCUCAACCGGAGAACAGCUUUUGAUACUGCACGCCUCGAGGGGGGUAGGGGCAUGUGGAACUUCCGGUGGAGCGGUGAAAUGCGUAGAUAUCGGAAGGAACGCCGGUGGCGAAAGCGACGUGCUGGACCCCUUCUGACGCUGAGGCGCGAAAGCCAGGGGAGCAAACGGGAUUAGAUACCCCGGUAGUCCUGGCCCUAAACGAUGGGUACUAGGUUGUGGACUGGACAUGGGUUCACAGCCGAAGCAAAAGUGCUAAGUACCCCGCCUGGGGAGUAUGGUCGCAAGGCUG
rnacentral:rRNA from 1 species